rnacentral:rRNA from 1 species
GUGGGGAAUAUUGGACAAUGGGCGAAAGCCUGAUCCAGCCAUGCCGCGUGUGUGAAGAAGGUCUUCGGAUUGUAAAGCACUUUAAGUUGGGAGGAAGGGCAGUAAGUUAAUACCUUGCUGUUUUGACGUUACCGACAGAAUAAGCACCGGCUAACUUCGUGCCAGCAGCCGCGGUAAUACGAAGGGUGCAAGCGUUAAUCGGAAUUACUGGGCGUAACGCGCGCGUAGGUGGUUCAGCAAGUUGGAGGUGAAAUCCCCGGGCUCAACCUGGGAACUGCCUCCAAAACUGCAUGACUAGAGUACGGUAGAGGGUAGUGGAAUGUCCUGUGUAGCGGUGAAAUGCGUAGAUAUAGGAAGGAACACCAGUGGCGAAGGCGACUACCUGGACUGAUACUGACACUGAGGUGCGAAAGCAUGGGGAGCAAACAGGAUUAGAUACCCUGGUAGUCC